rnacentral:rRNA from 1 species
CAGCAGCCGCCGCGGUAAUACGUAGGGGGCAAGCGUUAUCCGGAAUAACUGGGCGUAAAGGGUGCGCAGGUGGUUUAACAAGUUAGUGGUGAAAGGCAUAGGCUCAACCAAUGUAAGCCAUUAAAACUGUUUAACUUGAGUGCAGGAGAGGAAAGUGGAAUUCCUAGUGUAGCGGUGAAAUGCGUAGAUAUUAGGAGGAAUACCAGUGGCGAAGGCGACUUUCUGGACUGCAACUGACACUGAGGCACGAAAGCGUGGGGAGCAAACAGGAUUAGAGACCCGUGUAGUCCCUGUCUCUUAUACA